UUGAGCCUGGUAAUAAAAAGCGGCAGGGGAACAGUGGGUCUGGAUUUGGAUAUGGCAUCGGUAUUGGAGGGUUGAGAGAGAGCCAACGCUGGUGAUGGUGGUUGGCGCUGCUAAAAAGGACGCGGCGAUGAAGACGAAAAAGCGGAUAAACGCGUGGCGACGUUAGUUCGCGUGGGCCGGCACGUUGUGCACAUAACGCGCGCGACGCCGACGCCGACGCCGACGCCGACUGCUGCAAUGCGGUGAUGUCGGCAUUUUAAUUGAAAACGCCGGCUCGCUCUAGCGAUACCACCACACCACCAAUCUCCUCUCUUUCUCUCUCUCUCUCUCUCUCUCUCUCUUUCACGCUCUCACGGCUGCUGCCAACCAACCACUUCUCGCUUCUUCGCUCAUCCAUUCGUGGUUUAUUAAUGAACGUUAAUGUCGUAGGUGCGCGGCUCGUUCCUUUUAAUUGCGUCCCUAAAUUAUUCACCGUGGACGCUGUAACCGUCGUUGUGCCGCCACUGUGACGGGUCCACCUCGUGGAUCCUUUCUGUUUGCUAUUCCUCCGCGAGAUCCAACACGGGGGCAACGAACUAAAAGUUCGCGCGGACAUCGAAGGAAUAAGUCGGCUCUGUAUCAAAGCUUACUUUUGGGAAUGGUAACGGAGAGCUAGGUGGAUCGGCCAGACGAAAUGGAAUGGCGUCGGCGGACUGACAGGCGAGGAGAAAGGGGGAUGAGAGAGAGAGAGAGAGAGAGGAAGAGAGAGAGAGGCCGGACGCAAAGGGAGACGCAUUGUUUACAGUAAUGAAGGCGUAAAUAAGUGAUGAACCGCGCGACGCAUCGAUCUCGGCCGGGCUAUGCCUAUGUUUGAUACGGCACUGCUUUCAGGGUGGUCACCCCUACUGUCAGCCACCCUCCGACUGCACGCAGAUGUCGACCGGUUCUUUUCCCGCCUGCUACAUCUCUUUCUUUCUCGCUUUACACUUCUUUCGUCUGACGGAUUAUCGAGACGUUAAUUAACAAUUAAAAAUUUCGUGAAUCUUCCA